rnacentral:lncRNA from 1 species
UUUUCUUGGGCUUAUCGCAGUUUUUCUCAUUGAAGUCGAGAUUCCUUCUCUCUGAGUUUUUUGGAUCCAAUCCCGAUUGAAGAGAGUUUUAAAUUUAUCUGUCAUGGUCAAAUGUGUCAAAAACAAAUGAUGCAAGCUCACCAAAGAAGGUUCGCCCUAGAGAAUUUCAUGAGGGGGACUUGGUAUUGAAGAAGAUCUUCCCCAUACAAAAGGACUUCAAAAGGAAGCGGACGCCAAAUCGGGAAGGGCUUUAUGUGAAAGACCCUAUCUGGAAAAGUGUUAAUUUUGACCGUAAUAUAUUUCAAAAAAUAUAUUUCAAAAAAGAAAAAGGAAAAGAAAAAAAAAGAACCCCAAUUAGUAUUCUUUUUAUGUUAUCCAGAAGACUCUUUUUAUAUAAUUUACAUAAUCUCCAUUACCAAUCCUUUAUGUAUUUUGGUGUUCCUAACCAUCCACUCUUUUUUGUUCAAUCCCCCGUUUGUUUAGCAAUACAUGUAUGGGAAUCCAUACAAAGGAUAGCGAAAACUCUAUACGGUUGAUCUUUUGAGCCCGCUUCAAGCUAGAUUGACUAAUCAACCUGUCUUGGGGUAAAGAUUUCUUCCGAAGGCGAAAACCCGCAAAGGGCGCCUUGAGACCAAGAAGGAUUUGAGUUAAAAACCCGAAAAGGACGGCUCAAAUUUUGGAUCAAAAUGGGGCAUGAGGUGAUGGAGCAGCUUAAAUUUUGAUCAAAUUAGGGCAUGAGGUGAUCUUGUUAUACCUGAAUCAACAAGAAAGGGUAGGCGACAUCUUGGGGGAUAGACAAAGUCUUGUAGAUCUCCUAAACACAUGUCAAACUCAAAAUGGUCUUUCAAAGAGUUUGUACAGAGAAGUUCAAGCUGUGAUAUCUGGGGCACCUAAUCUUUAUACUAUUUAUAUUGAAUUUGUUGUCUUUGAAAACUUCAUUCUUUUUCAAGAUACGUGUUCCCAAUCAAUUCCUCUUUUAUCUUUAUUAUCCUUGAUAAUUUAUUCAUUUUGAGCUAUGCUCCCAAAUCAAUUUUAUUUUUAUCCAUUGUUAUGAUCUUUUACAAGCAUGUUGCAUUGGAAUAAUGAUUAAUGGACUAAUAAUACUUUCACAAGGGAAGUUUUGCAUAUUACUCUAGAAGUUUCUAAAUAAUAUAGGAACCUGAAACAUGACUAUCAUUUAGAACACAUCAAGUUUAAAGGUUGAAAUAUCUAAAAAGGAAAAGUCUAAGUUAAGACUAUCCUUUCGGAUUUCGUUGUCCAAACUUUGAUUGAACAAAAAUUACAGGAUGUCGUGUUGGUGACAAAGCUUCAAUGAACAAGAAAGCAAUGAUCACCAAGUGAUAAGAAGAGGUUUCUCAGAAGAGAAAGUUAUACAAUUGUGUAUAAACAUUUGGUAUGACACCUUGGGAAUGAUGUAAGGCCAAAGAGAUUCAGAUCCUGUAUCCUUGAUUUGUGAUAGCAGAGGAUUGAGAAAAGGCCAAAUCUUUCUACCCUUGGGUUACAACAGGAGAAAGAUGGUACAAGUUUUGCAUCUAGUGGAUUGAACUCGAAAGUUUACAGUGGGGGCAAUCUGACUAAGUGUUUCUUCAGAAAAGCCAGCCGAGCAAGAAGGCGUUGUAGCAUGUCAGUGAUAAAGCCUUAAUAAAUUUCGAGUAAUGACAACUUAAGGAUCAUUCUAAAAAAAAAGACAUUCUGCGUUCAUGCAAACAUCAUUCAUACAUACCUAGUUAGGAACAUUUGACUCAUUCUGAUCAUGAUAUCCUAAUCACUAGGCAUAAUUAGGUUCAUUAAAUGGAUUCUAUAGGUCAUGUUCCCUAGAGAGCAGAUUAGUGAAACCAUAAAUCCUAUACCCUUGAGGUUGCAGUGGGAUGGAUUGAAGUAGAUCAUAGCAAAUCUUAUCUCCCUAAAGUUAAAGUAGAGCAGUUUAAAGCCAAUAAUUCUAUCUCCCUAAAGUGGCAGUGGAGUGGAUUGAAGACACGAAUCUUAUGUCCCUGGCGUAGCAGCGGAGUAGAUUAAAGCUGAGGGCAGCGAAUCUUAUCUCUCUAGCGUUAAGGCUUGGAAUAGCUGAAGUGGAGCGGAUUAAAGCUGUGGGCAGCGAAUCCUAUCUCUUUGGCAUUACAAUUAAAUAGAUUAAAGCUACAACAGCGAAUCUUACUUCCGUGGCGGUGCAGUGGAACAGAUUGAAGCUACAACGGCGAAUAUUGCUUCCCUGACAUUGCAGUUAAACAGUUUGAAGCUAUAACAGUGAAUCUUACUUCCCUGGCAGUGCAGUGGAACAGAUUGAAGCUACAACGGCGAAUCUUGCUUCCCCGACAUUGCAGUUAAAUAGAUUGAAGCUACGACAGCGAAUGUUACUUCCUUCGCGGUGAAGUGGAACAGAUUGAAGCUACAACGGCAAAUCUUGCAUCCCCGACAUUGCAGUUAAAUAGAUUGAAGCUAUGACAGCGAAUCUUACUUCCCUGGCAGUGCAGUGGAACAAAUUGAAGCUACAACGGUGAAUCUUACUUCCGCGACAUUGCAGUUAAACAGAUUGAAGCUACGAUAGCAAAUCUUACUUCCCUAGCGGUGCAGUGGAACAGAUUGAAGCUACAACGGCCAAUUUUGUUUCCCCGACAUUGCAGUUAAACAGAUUGAAGCUACGACAGCGAAUCUUACUUCCCUGACAGUACAAUGGAACAGAUUGAAGCUACAAUGGCGAAUCUUGCUUCCCGACAUUGUAGUUAAAUAGAUUGAAAAUAACGAAUCUUAUUUCCCUGAAGUUGCAGUGGAACAGAUUGAAGCUAUAAAUUACAUAUCUUAUCUCUCUAAAAUUGCAGUAGAGCAGAUCAUAUCAAACCUUAUCUCCCUUAAGUUGCAGUGGAGCAGGUUAAACCAAUCUUAUCUCUCUGAAGUUGCUGCGAAGAAGAUUGAAGCUACAGGUCAUAUCUCUCUGAAGUGCAGUAGAGUGCAUUGAAGCAACGAGACAUAGUGGAGUAGAUUAAAACCAUGAAUCUCGUCCCCUUGAAGUUGCUGCGAAGAAGAUUGAAGCUACAACUCAUAUCUUUCUGAAGUACAGUAGAGUGGAUCGAAGAAAUGAGACACAGUGGACUGGAAGGAGGCUAUUUGAAGAAAAUGAGCACUAGAAUAAGUCAAGACUCGGCGAGACCGAGCAAAAUUGGUCUUUCUUAGUCUUUACUCUGUUCUCAUUACACGACAACGAGUAAAGAGGUGCAGCUGUACAGCCCAAAUUUUGCCCAGGGCCCAAAACCCAAAACCCAACCAACCCAAACACAAAUAACAAACCCAACCACCUAGACCUAACCCAAUAGCCCAAUUAAAACCCGAGCCCAAUUACAAUGCUUGGCCCAACAGUCCUAGCCCAAAACAUAUUUUUAGAAAAAACGUAACCCUAACCCUAGGUGCGCCGCACCUAGGGUCGCCCACUUGCCCUGCCACCACUGCCUCUGCUGCCGCGCCACCAACUCUGCCACCUGCUCCAUCAACGUCAAAUACCUGCAAACAAACAGCAAAAGAAACAGACCACAAAACAGUAACAAUAUGAGGGGAUUUUUUUCUUUUCUUUCGGCUAUAAAGCCGAAUAUGUUGUAAAAGUUUGGGGGAUUUUUUUUAUUCUUGUUUUUCAAAAAAAAAAGAUUGAGAAAUAAAAACAACAAAAAAAAUUCAAAGGUUACAUUGAGAAACUCUACUCUAUUUUCGUUUUGUUCUUUUAUUUUUAUUUUUAUUUUUUUUGAAAUAAAUAUAAAAAUAAAAAAAGGAGAGGCCUUUUUACCUUUUUUGCCAUCGUCGGAGUGUGGGAGACCAAUGAUCUACAUCGGAGGAAAAAAAGAAAUUUUUUUGGACUCCCCGCCGCCGUGCACAGCGGUGCCAGCGAUCGGCGGCCGACGCAACGGUCGUUGGCCGGAUUUUGGGCCGAUUUGCGGAGAGGGGGAGAGGAGUUGGGAGUGUUUUUUUGAGAUUUUUUUAAAAAGAAGGGAAAAAAUAAAAUUUUUUGAAAAAUUUUGGUUUAAAUAGGGAAGCAAAACGACGUCAUUUUACUCUGCCCUUUAAAACGCCAAAAUGGCGUCGUUUUGAGCUACUUGAUCCAGCCGAUCCGACCCGCCUGGAGGAUCUGCGUGUUUUCGACGGAAGGGCUAAUUGCACUUUUAGCCCUUCCACUUUUUUAAUGUUUUUCAAUCAAGGGUUUUUUUAUUUUUCAAUUUUACCCUGUGUUUUUUUAUGAAUUCAGUUUGGCCCACACUUGAAUGACGACGUUUUGGAGGGUGGGGAUUAUUGCCCAUUUGGUCCCUCCUUGUCAUUUGCGCUUCCUAUUGGGUCCUCCCUUUUUAUUUAUUUUCAGAUUUGACCCCGAAUUUUGUUUUAAAAUUCAAUUUAGCCCUUUUGUUUUUGUUAUUUUGGUUAUUUUAUUAUUAAAACUAAUAAAUUAUUAUUGUUAUUAUUAUUAUUAAUAUUAUUUUUAUUAUCAUCAUAUUUUUGUUUAUACUUACUAUGUAAAUUUUAAAUAUAUUAUUAUAUUAUUAUUAUAUAAUUGCUUCUAUAUAUAUAGACACACAUAUAUACAUAUUUAAUAUUUACAUACAUAUACACGCUUAUAUUUUUUUAUAUAUUUUAUAAUUUAUAUACAUGUAUGUAUUUAUAUGCGCAUUUUAAAUUUAUAUAUAUACUUAUACAUACUCUUUAUAUUUUAAAAUCUAUAUUUUUCUUAUUUAUUUUCUAUAGUUUAUAAUUCAUGUGUACAUAUAUUUUUAUAUAUUUUCUAAUGCAUACAUGCACAUAAUAUAUAUAUAUCUACAUACGUUUUUUAAUUUUUAUAAAUAUACAUAUAUACCUACCUUUAUUUUUUUUUUCAUAUCUUUAUAUACAUAUAUACAUACAUACUUACAUAUAUUUUUAUGUACAUAGAUUUUUUCAUAUUUUCAUAAUUUUAUGCACACAUACAUAUAUAUAUAUAUAUAUCUUUUUACAUUUUUAUAAUUUUAUUCAUUUUAUUUAUUUAUUUAUUUUCGUUAUUAUUUUAAAAGAAUGCUUUGACUUUAUUUGCUUAUAUAUUUGUUUUGUAUGUUAUGGAUUUGUACUUUUUAUUUAUCUUAUUUUUGUUGUUGUUGCUCGUGUUAUCUUUACACCAUCGUAUUCAUUAUUGUUUUGCUAUGUAUAUCAACAAUGUCAUUCGUUUUUGCAUUCUUUUUAUCACGACAUCGUGUUUCAUUUUACUCAGUAUGUCAAAAUUUAUUCUAAAUAAAUAACAUUUCGUAUGUUUAGAUUCGAGAAGGUUGUACCCUAACUUACUGGGUUUCGAUUUUCACAAUAAAUCUAAAUACACGGAUCUUUUCAAACUCAAGUUUUAAAUGAUCUCGGGAAUUAAGAAAAGAUCGUGUCCUAACUUACUGGGCAUGAUCCCUUUUUAAAUCCGAGAUAGCUAAAUAUCUUUUAAAUAAGUAAAUUUUCGGCAUUCAUUCGCGCAUCGAGAAUUCAAGACUUGUGUCCUAACUUACUGGAUAUAAUUCUCUUUCUCGAUUAAUGUAAAAUAUGCCCUUUUCUCGAAAAUUUUCAACAUUUCAAUAAAGGAUCGUAUUUUUAAAAUUCUUCAAAAUUUUCAAUCUUCGACACUAAGACAUUAAUUAAUCAACUAGGUACCAAUUUUGGGCGCUACGAGGGUGCUAAUCCUUCCUCGUACGUAAUUGACUCCCGAACCCAUUUUUUGAAUUUCGUGGACCAAAAUCGUUGUUUUAAUAAAAUCAAAUUGUUUAUUAAAAUAACCACUUUUCGAGGUGGCCCGAUCACACCUUAUCAAAAAGGAUUGGUGGCGACUACCAUAUUCGUUUUCAUUUUUAAAAUCCAAGUCGACCCCGUUUUGUCAAAAAAAUAGUGUCAACAUAGUCCAUUAUGAAGAGUCCAUAAUUCUAUGUCUACACUUGUAGUACAAGGGAUGUGGCAGUAGGAUCCUACGAUCCAGUUUCCGUGUUGGUCUUUUAUAAAGGCUCAAGAGUUUAAAAAAUCCUUAAACUUUUUUUUAAAAAAACAACAAAUCCCUCCUCUUUUUUUUUUUUUUGCACUCAAUUAAGCACUUGAACUUUCAAAAUGUAUAAAGGCCCUCAAACUUCUUCAAAGAAACCAAUUAAACCCCUAUUUUUUUUCACUCAAUUGGGUACUUGAACUUUCAAAAUGCAUGAAAAAGAUCCUUAAAAUUUUUCAAAAAAGCAAUUAAGCCUCUACUCUUAUUAAAAAUUAGAAAAAAUAAUUAUAAAAAUAAUAAAUUUUAGAAAAUUUAUUAAAUUUUAAUAAAAAUAUAAAAUAUAAAAAAUUAAAAAUUUAUUAAAAUAAUUUUUAUAAAAUCAUAAAUAAAUUUUAAAUUUUUAUAAAAAUCAUAAAAAAUUAAUGACCCUUAUUUUUUUCAAUUAAAGUCAUCACGUGUCGCAAUACAGUGUGACAUGUGGUGAAAAAUGAUAAAAGAAUUAAAAAUCAAUAAAAGUUUUAGAAAAUAUUAUAAAAUGCUUCUUUGGUGCAUAAUUUUUAUAAUUUUUUUUCGAAAUUUAUAUUUCUUUACAUUUUGUAUAAUUUUCUUACUAUUUUAUAAACUUUUAUAUUUUUUUAUGUUUCUAUAUAUUUUAUAUAUUUUUUUACGAUUUUUAUAAAAUUUUACCAUUUUUAUAUUUUUUACGAUUUUUAUAUUUUUUUUCUAAUUUUUAAUAAAUUUUAAUAUUUAAUUUUUUUAUUAAAAUUUAUUAAAAUUUAUAGCUUUUAUUGAUUUUAUUUUUUUAUAAUUUUUUUUAUAAUUUGUAAUAAAAAUAGGGGCUUAAUUGGUUUUUUUUUUUAAGUUUGAAAGUCUUUUUGAUACAUUUUAAGAGUUCAAGUAGCCAAUUAAGUGCAAAAGAAAAGGAGCUUAAUUACUUCUUUUUAGAAAAAAAAAAUUUGAGGGUUUUUUUUUGCACUGUUAAAGCUUUCAUAAAUGCACUUGAUCCAUCUCUUCAUGUGCCUAUUGAAGAUUCAUCUGUAUUCAGCUUCGACUAUCCCUACUCUAGUAGCUGCCAAUUAAUUGGAGUAAAUGAUUGUAAAGGCUUCGCACAAUUGGUAGGCCUUCGUUAUUAACUUGUUAAAGCUUGUAUAAAUUUAAAAUAUCCUAAAUUAGAUCAAAUCUUGUCUAUUUCCCCACAAGAUUUAAAGUUAAGGGUCCAAACUCUUUUAACUCCUAAGACAGCAACCCACAAAUUCAUAGUUCACUAAUUUAAGCACACCAACACCAAUAAAAAAAAACCAAAUUCAUUGUCUUGUCUGGAUCCAACUAGCCCAAUUAGUGUUUCGAACUCACUGACUAUGUCUAAUGUAUAGUCUCGCCCAAGUUAUGUCUACUUCUCCACUUGAGCCCACACUCCUAGGUUAAUAAAUGGAAACCCAAUUUUAGGAUGGAAAUUUGUGUGGAAAAUAUGAUUGUUUUUCCCUAAAGAAAUUAAACUUUUUGCACCUACAAUUCUUUAGUGAAUUGCGAAUAUCAAGAUGUGCUCGUGAUUCUGAUUGUGCUUCAUUCAACUUGACAGACAAUUAGUAUCCUGCCAACUCUCCUCUUGACAACUUAUAAUGACACAAUAUAAGUUAAAAAUAACUACAAAUUCCAUCUCUCAUUCCUUAAUCUUAAUUUGAUUAAUAUUUAUAAAUUUUGAUAAACAGGGAAGUGAUAUUUUUAAAGAAUCAGCAUAUUUUAGUUAUUUGUAGACACCUGGCAUCCAUGCUUAUCAAUUAUCAUGUGUCUAGGGCAAUGCUGUAGUCUACACUCCCUUAGUUUGGGGUAAAACUAUGGAUUGCAUAUUUGCAUUUUAGAAUAAGAAUAGGGAUAUUUGAUAUCUAAUCCUUCAUCUUCUCUUCAUUUUAGUAGCAGCAGAAACCUUUUUAUAUUCACUAAUAACCCCACAUCUUUAUUUUAAUCAUUUCCCUAUGGAUACGGGAAACAAGUGAUUUUCUUUUUAUCAAAUUAUUAUUCCUUUUUCUUUUUAUGUGAAGCCUAGAGAUAUGAGAAAGGUUGUAUAUAUUUGUUAAUUGCCAUCUCAUAAAAUCAACUUAAAUUAACACCACAUUAACCUUACUAAUCAUAUUUAAUGUGAUUUGAUAUUUUGAUGCAUAAUUGACUAACUUUUAUGGAUAAAAUAAGGAUUAAAAUUGAAUUAUAAAUUUUUAAGAGGUUAAAAUAUAAUAUUUUUUAAAAAAGAUUAAACAAUUUUUUUCAUUUUUUAAAAGAUGAAAUUGUAAUGUUAUUAUAUAUUAACUUAUAAUUUUAUCGAUAUUGAAUUACAACUUUCUAUAUUAAGGGAGACUACCUACCCUCCAUAGAUUCACCUAUAGAUAAAACUACAAACCCUCGUUGAUUGCCCCUACUUAAUUCUAAAUGUUAAAUUCUAGUUUUCUACUUCAUCCUAAUAAACUUUAGGGUAAACUAUAUAAAUAGUCACUCAAUUAUGCUCGCGUUCUUGUUUUGGUUAUCCACUUUUAAAUAUUUUCAAUUUAAGUACUAAUAUUUGCAUUUGUUCCUAUUUUGGUCACCAAUCGUUACAUUGAGAACGGAAAGUCUUUUUCUAAUUGAUAUAAUAACACAUUUAGUCCUCAGUACUUACAUAUUCUAUCAAUUUGAUCCUAAUUCUAAAUAAUUUAAUAAAUUCAACCAUUCACAUUUACAAAUUCUAUCAAUUUGAUCCUCAAUCUUACAGACCAUAGCUUUGAACUCUUAAAAGAAAGGCAUUCCACAUCUAUAAAUUUGUAAAACCCAAACAAGAAAAAAAAAACUUCUCUCAACUAACAAGUCAUAUUCCAAGCCAACUCCUGAUAUCAAUGAGUUUAUCUUAAAACUUUAAUUAAUUUCCCUUUUUUUUAUCAUUUUUCUUCUAAAUAUAAUAUUUUAUAACCCUUUGGUUGAUAAAAUUUUUGCUAAAGAAAAUGGAAAAACCUAAAAAAAAAAAAGAAAAAAAAGAAAAGAGAAACACUUUAGAUUUACUCUUGUUGUUAAUAGUAUGAUAUUUCCUUCAAGGCACAUAGAAAUAGUCCUCGAGGUUGGUUCUUAAAUUUGGAAAUUAAAUCCAAAGUUAAAAAAUAUAGCUUUAAAAACUUCAAUUGUUCAAUCAAUAAUUAUAUGAGAACAAAGUUAUAAACUUUACAUUUUUAUAAGAAAAAAGUGUGAAAGAAUUAAGAGAUUAUUACGUGUUCUAUUUUUCUCUAAUUUUUAAAUUCAUAAUAAGCAAUAUGUAUCACUAAUAAUUUGAUUUAGUGUCAAAUCAUUUACAAAUUAAUUAAAAACUUAAGUUAUGCUAGUCAGGUUGAAAUUAUAAUUUACAAAUAUUAAAUUAUUUAUGUAAUUUUAUUAUAUACUAUAUUUUUAGAAUUUUUAUUUUCUAUUAUUUUUAAUGGCGUUUAGUUAAUUUCUAACUCCAACUUCUUAAAAAUAUAAACAAAAAAAGUUAUGUAUCAAAUUGGAUAAUUUCAACCAUAAAUAAAACAAUUAAUAGAUGUGGAAUGUCUCUGUUUUAUAAGUUGAAAGCUUUGGUCAGGAAGUUUGAGGAUCAAAUUAAUUGAAUUUGCAAUUUAUUGAAUAAUUUAGAAUUAUGAUCAAAUUAAUAGAAUAUGUAAGAAUUGAGAACUAAAUGUGUUAUUAUACUAAUUAAAAAAAAGGCUUCCCGUUAUCAAUUUAACAAUAGUGACCAAAACAAGAACAAAUCAAAAGGUUAAUGUCUAAAUUAAAAAAUUUAAAGCUGAGCAAUUAAAAUAAAAAUCCGAGCAUAGUUGGAUAACCAUUUAUAUAAUUUAUUAUAAUUCUUAUUCCCUAACAUUUCUUAUUUAUUAAGUAUAUUUACUUUAUUAACGAAGUUAACUAGGUUUUUUUAGCCCAAACAUAGUUUUUUCAUUGCUACAAUAAUAUUUAAUUAACUUUUUUUUGCUACUCUUUUUUUAUUCAAUUUUGUUUUACUUAACUAAAUAUUAAAAAAUUAUAAACAUUUUAUUAUUAAAUCAAAAAAAAAUAUUUCAAAAUAAUCUUAUAUACACUAUGAAAAAUAGGUUUAAAUAGGGUAGAGAUCCCUGUACUCUUUUGAAAUUUAAAUUUAGUCCUUAUACUUUAAUUUUGAGGCAUUUAGUCAUUUUACUUUUUUAUUUAAAAAUCUUGGUCCCUUCGUCUAAUUUUAGUAUUAAGGUUAUUGAUGUAGUAAUUAAAAAUGGUAAAUUAACAUUUUUAGCCCUUAAUGUUUACAAUUUUUGUUAAAUUAGUCUUUAUUCUUUAAAACUGCAUAAAAAUUUUAAAAAUUAAUUUUUUUUCACAUCUUAAAUAAAAUUAAAAAUUAAAAAUAUAAUUUUUAAGAAUUUUCAAAAAUUAUGAAAAAAAUAAAACUCUUUAAAUUCAAAAAGUAAAAAAAAUAAAUAUUAUUUUCAAAAAAUAAUUUAAAAAAUUAAAAAAGAAUCCAAAAUUCAAUAUUGUCUUAACCAAACCAGACGGCCAGUUGGACCAAGAAUCGGUUGAGGUAUCAUCCAGCAACAAGUAAAAAACGGUUGACUUACAAACAGAUACAAACUGGUUGAAUCGGGCUAAAAACUGAUUGAACCGAUUUUAUUUUUUAUUUUUUACUUUUUUGAAGUUUUAAUAUUUUUUGCUUUGAAUAGGUCAAACUAGGAACUAGUGGUUUGAAGAAUUCAACUACUGGUGGUUCCAAAAAUUAUUGCUUGAAUUUUUGGAAAUUUUUAUAUUUUUCAAUUUUAAAAUUAUUUAAAAUUAUUUAAAAUAAUUUUUAAAUGAUUUUUAUUUUUAUUUUUAAGAGUUUGUAGUUUUUCACAAUUUUUAUUGAUAAUAUGGAAAAAAAUACUUUUAUUUUUAAAAAAAUAUGUUUUUGUAUUUGCUUAUGUACUUUUAAAGAGUAAAGAUCAAAUUUACAAAUAUAUAUAUAUAAAUAUUGAGGUCUAAAAAAAUUAUUUUACAUUUUUUUUAAUAAUGGUCAUAUCAACAAUUCUAACAACAAUGUUGACAAAGAGAUCAUGAUUUUUAAAUAAAAAAUACAAGAACUCAAUGUCUCAAAGUUAAAAUAUAAGAGUUAAAUUUUAAAUUUUAGAAAAGUACAGGGACCUUUGGCAUAUUUAAACUUUAUAAACAAUAAAUAUAAUAAAAAGAAUUAGUUAAAUAAAAUUUAAAUUUAACUAAUUAAAGCGUAAUUUAUAACAUUUUUCAAUGAAUAUGAUAAUUUUAUUUGUUUAUAGUACUAAAUUAAGGUAAAGUACAGAAAUGGUCCUUAAAGUAUUGCCCGUGUUCUAUUUUAGUCACUAAACUUUUAAAUUUUUCUAUUUUAGUUACUAAACUAUACGAAAUCAAAUAUUUUGUCACCGAUCCUUAAGAGCCAUUUGAAUAUUAAUGGAAGUGCUGAUGUGAGAUUUUUUUUAUUGGUCUAAUAACAAAUUUAGCCUUUUAAUGUUUACAUAUGCUAACAAUUUAAUUCAAAAUAUAAAAUAUUCAACAAAUUUAGUGCUUAAUGUUUACAAAAUUUGUCAUUUUAGUUCAAAUUCUAAAAUUUCAAUAAAUUUAGCCCUCAAAAUUUAGAAAAUGACUAAAUUUCCGUCUCUUUUAGCCUGGAACUUGCACCCCAAAAUAGAUGGAAAAGUUAACAUCUAUUAACUUUAUUGGUGUGGCAAUCCACAUGUAUUCUACUAAAAAAAAUUUAAAAAUAUAUAGAAAAUUAUUUAAAAAUGAAAAAAAAUUAAAAAGUAUUUAAAAUCCAAAUAUAUAUUAUUAAAAGUUAAAAAAGAAUAUAUAAAAUAUGGUAAAAAUAUUAUAAAGCUGUGGUUUCCAAUUAAAGCUAAGUGGAGCACCUACUUGUAUAUAAUCAUCUCAUUGUUGUGUAAUGAAGAACAAGAAAUACGACAACAUUUUUCUUCAUAUUUUAUGAGGUAAAAACUCAAUUGAAUUCUUUUUAAUGACUUUUUAUAGCUAUAAAUGCUUGUUAUACAAGUAGGCAUAAGCUAAAUAAAUAGAAAAGGGAAAGUGCAUCUCUCUUAAUUUCAGUAGCAAAAUAGAGAUGUGGAAAUAUCUAAGAAAAAAUGGAAAAUAUUAAAAAAAAGGAAUAAAGGGCAAGUGGCAGAACCCCCAAAGCAAAACUUGUGUUGUAAAAAUAAACUCUGAAAGUGUACAUAUGUUUUGAUUGUCCCACCUUUCCUUCCAAAUAUUCUAUCUGAGGCCAAACCCCAUAGCCCACAGGUCCAAAACUCCCCCAUUGAUCCCCUCACCCCUUCCAAUUUCCACUCCUUUUGAUCUUUAUUUCCUCACCUUGACAUCCAUAUUCCUCCGCAGAUUUUUUCCUUUGAUUGAAUCUUCAUUUUCACCCUCACAAUGCACUUCCAUGGGUUACCAACGUUUGCAUGCUUCUUUUAAUUCUCACCCAGUUUUUGAUUCACUUUCGAUCUCCCCUUUCCCACCACAUAAAAGAUCUCUCUCUUCUUGUUGGCCACUAGUUCACUAGUUUUUUAUCAGUCAAUCAAUUAAAAAGUUAACCAGUUCUUCAAUCUUUUUCUUCAUUUUCACACCAUCCCUUUUGUCCCUACACAUCUAUGAAUACACAUGUACAUACACUUUUUCUUUCUGGUUCUGGAUUAUUUUUAUUCCUAUCCAUUAAGUUGAACUUCUACAGAUAUGGCUAUAUAUUUCACGACAUUCAAUCACAACUUAAUUCCACCAUUUAUAUAAAAAAAAUUCUUACAUAAGCAAAUUUAAAUUAUAAUUAUUUAAUUGAUUAAGAAUAAUGGGAAAAUUUUGCAUGACAAUUCAUAACUCGUAAUGAGUUAUCCUCAAACCCUUAAAGAGGAGGAUAGAACGUGCUUAAGUGUGCUCAAAUUCCCCGUUUUCUUGUACUAGCAAUAAUGUCAAUGCCAACUGAAAUAAGGCUCAAUCGGCUAUAAUUAUUUUAAAUUUUAAUUAGAUAAUAUUUUAUUUAGAUAAAUGAAUAAAUGUAAAAAAUCAUCUAAGUCAAGUUUUAAAUUAUUUUAAAUAGAUACUAAAAGUUUCAUGAAUUAGAUAUAUUGUUUGACUAUGUUUCAUUAAUAUUAAAUUUAUUUUAGAAGGUUUUAACGUAAAAGCAAGAAAAAUUGUUUUAUUACCAAUAAAGGUAAUUGAAACAAACGUUUUUAUUUGAGUCCUAGCUAUAUACCAUCUCAACUCAACCGAAAGGAUUGUAUGAAACUGUAAUUCCGCGUUAUCCUUAUUCCUUUCCAAUAGGACAAUGACAAAUCAUAUUUUUUCUCCUGAUUUUCAACAUUUUUAGUUGAAUUUAAUUUUUUUCAAGGAUGAAAAAUCUGAUUUCAAAUACAUUUAAACUCAAACAAUAAAAUGUAGAGAGAAAAAAAAACCUCUUUUACCAUAGAUAGAACCCACUUAUACAUUUUAUUCACUAUCUCAAUAAGCGGCCAGUUUUGGCCAAACGAAUACAAAUAAGAAAGGAAUAUAGCCUUUGAAUCUAGGGUGAUUUUAUCUUGUUUUAUACACUUCUCUUGUCCCCAUACACACAAAAUUAUAGAACUUAAGUUUCAGAUUCCACAUAUAUUUCUCUCUCUUUUUUUAUUUCCAUAGUAAGGAAUAUAGCCUACCACCUUCACAACAUUGUAUAUAUAUACUUCCCCCUAGGCUAUAUGGAACUUCAAGCUAUGUUCAUUUCCAUGACAUUCCCGAUGUGGUUUUGGCCAUCAUAUUCUCCUUAGUUGCUGAUACCCGUACUCGCAAUGUCAUGUCCCUUGUAUGUCUGAAAUGGCACUUGCUUGAGCGUUCCACUCGCAAAUCCCUCACCCUCCGUGGCAACAUCCGCAAUCUCUUCCUCCUCCCCACUUGCUUUCGAGCCGUUACCCAUCUCGACCUUUCUUUGCUCUCCCCAUGGGGACACCCUCUUCUUGAUUCCUCUUCAAACCCGCUUCUUCUCGCUCAACUCCUUCGGCAUGCAUUUCCCUCUGUUGUUUCUCUAGUAGUUUAUAUCCGUAACCCUUCAACUCUCCAUCUUCUAGCUCCCCAAUGGCCUAACUUACGACAUGUUAAGCUUAUACGUUGGCAUCAACGUUUGCCUACAGAACCUCUUGGUUCUGACUUUACUGCCCUUUUUGAGUAUUCUGGUAUGCUUUCCUCACUUGAUGUUUCACUUUUUCAUUCCUGGACUGAAGAUCUUCUACCUGCCAUUAAAGCCUACCCUUUGAUUGCAGCUUCUCUUUCUCAUCUUAAUAUCCUCAAACAUUCUUCAGCUGAGGGAUUCAAGUCCUAUGAGCUUUUAGCCAUUACUGCUUCCUGUCCAAACCUCCGUAAAUUGCUUGCAACAUGUAUAUUUGACCAUCGAUUUAUUGGAUUUGUUGGCGAUCAAACCUUGCUUGCUCUUGCUUCCAAUUGUCCUUGCCUUUCUUUACUUCACCUUGUUGAUGCUACGUCUUUGUCCAACAUUAGGCCUAAUCCAAAUGAUGAGGGUUACACAUCUGAAGAUGCAAGUAUCAGUCAUACUGCACUUGGAGAUGUAUUUGCUGGAUUGCCACUACUUGAAGAGUUGGUUCUCGAUGUUUGCUACAACGUUAGGGAUACUUGGCUGGCGUUGGAAUUGCUUAAUUCCAGGUGCCCCAGGCUUAAAGCCUUGAAGCUGGGACAAUUCCAUGGAAUCUGUAGGGGCAUAAAUGCUUGGCUAGAUGGGAUCGCCCUUUGCCAAGGGUUGGAAUCUUUGUCAAUCAAGAAUUCUGCUGACCUAACCGAUAAAACAUUAGAAGCCAUAUCUCUAGGCUGCCCCAGACUGUCCAAGUUUGAGGUUUUAGGAUGUAAAAAGAUCACAGGCAAAGGGAUGUGGGAAUUGACUCACGCUCUUAGGAAAACUUUGGUCCAUGUCAAAAUUUCUUUCUGCAAAAACUUUAAUGCAGUUUCUUCAUUGCAGGCAAUAAAACCAAUUCGAGAUCAGAUUGAAAGGCUCCAUAUAGAUUGCGUGUGGAACACCCUUGACAAUUCAGAAAACCAGACAAGAAGUAGUUCAAGUCAGGAACUAAGUGAAUUAUACAACUUACAAGCAAGAAAGAGAGACAUGAUCAAGGAAGAGAAAAGGUUAAAAAAGAAAAGCAAGUCCCACUUCCACGAUGUCGGGGACGAAAACUUGUUCUCUUCUAGGACAUGGUCCAAACUACAUCAUCUUUCCCUUUGGAUAGGUGUAGGUGAGUUGCUCACUCCAUUAUCCUUGGCAGGUCUAGAUGAUUGUCCAGCGUUGGAAGAGAUAGAAAUAAAGAUUGAAGGUGAUAGCAGAAAUCAACAGAGGCCUUGCAUGGAUUCACUAGGGUUGCGUUCCUUAGCUUGUUAUCCAAGGCUUUCAAGGAUGCUCUUGGACUGCAGUGGAGUCAUAGGUUAUGCUCUUACAGCUCCCCUAGGGCAGGCAGAUUUGAGCUUGUGGGAGAGGUUUUUUCUAAAUGGGAUUGAGAUAUUGAAUCUUAAAGAGCUCAACUAUUGGCCGGCACAGGACAUGGAUCUGAAUCAGAGAAGCCUAUUUCUACCAGCAGCAGCGUUGCUAGCGCAAUGUGGGAGCCUAAGGAAACUGUUCAUUCAUGGAACGACAAAUGAACACUUCAUGAUGUUCCUAUUGAGAAUCCCAACACUCAGGGAUGUUCAAGUUAGAGAAGAUUAUUACCCUGCACCUGAGAAUGAUACAAUCACAGAGAUGCGAGUUGAAUCUUGUCGUCGAUUCGAGGAUGCUCUCAAUAGUAGCAAUCGUCAUAUUCCUGAUUAGAAAUAGUGUUCCAAGUUGCUAAAUUCCUACUACUUUCAAGCCAGAGAGGAGCGUAAAUAACUUUUUCCUAAUAAAAAAUUCAAUAUAUGUUUGUAUUAAGGUUCCUUUGUGCAAUAUUUUCAAAAUUAAGUAUGGAUUGGGAUACAAUCUCAUGUUGUUAAAUGGUAUAGAAACAACAAUUCAAUUGUAUCUCUUUUAUGUACGAUAGGGGAUACUAUUUUGUCCUAUACAUCUUAUUAAAUAUAAUAAUAUAUACAAAAUAUUUAUAAAUUAAAAAUAAUAAUAUUUAUAAAUAAUUUCCAAAUUUUAUAACAAAUAAAAAAAAUCAGAUACUUAUAAAAGUUCCAAAAAUCCAAAAAUAUGAAGAUUUAAAAAAAAACCUCUAGAAAAAUUAAUUAAUGUCAACCACUUCGACUGUCACUUGAAAAAAAAGUGUCAUAUCAACUAAAAUUAAGUAUCAAAGACAAAGACAGAGAUGAAAAGCAUAUAACUUAAUUAAGUUUUGAAUAAAUUUUUAGAAGGCUUAGCAUUUAAGAGAAAAAAAAAUAAAAUGAUUUAAAAACAAAAUAAAACAAAACAAAAAGAAAGGGUAUAUUCUAAAAGAGUAUGCUUUAUCAUACAUGGGUUCAACUGUUAAUUUGUGGACAAUGAUAAAGUAUGUGAAGCUUCAUUGUCCAUCUCACCAUGAGGAUAGGGUAUCUAUUCCAAUGGCACUUCUGUGUAUAUAGUGCGGCAUGGUGGAGUUGCUCUAUCCUGUAGAUUACAUUUUAGUUUUUAAUUAGAAAAUGUGUAAAUUAAUUUAUAUAUAUUAGAUAAGUGAGUAAAAUAACUCUCAAUUAAAAUUGUAUGGUUAAAUGUUUGUUUUAGUGUUUAUAUAUAAGGUAUAAUAAUAAAUUUAGCCCUUAACCUUUACAACUGUAAUGACCCGAUUUUCAGUGAUGUCGAAAAAUAUGAUUUUGGAACCCCAUUUUUAUAAACCGAGUUCAUAAUGACGAAAUAUAAAUAUUUAUGAAGUUACUAUGAAAAUAUAAUAAAGAGUGUUAAGUAAUCAUUUUGGUCCUUUGGAUAAUUAUUAUAUAAGUCCCCAAGAAUUUUCUUAAUUAAAAUUCAAUAGCGUUAGACUUCUACAAUUUACUCCUUAAGCUUUAAUUAACUAAUUUCUCGGUUAAAUUACUUACCCGGACUUAAAUACAUGUAACAACCUUAAUUUGUAUCUGUCACCGAGAUCGGGUCACGGAGUAUUACGAUAACAAUUUAAACAUUUAAAAUUACUAUCUUAAAAAUAUUCAAUUAUAAUUACAAUUGAAUCAAUCUCAAAUCAUUCAUAAUCUAACAUGCACUUACGAGCCUUAAAACGAGUCUACGAGACCCUAAAAAUAAAUUAGAAACAUUCUGGGGUCAAUUCGAAACCAAACGGAAAAGUUAAGAAAAUUUAAAAAUUUUUGAAUACAAGGGACACAUGGUCGUGUGGCCAAGUCGUGUGUCACAGCCCAGACCGUGUAGACAUUUGAUGUUGAGUCACACGACCAUGUCGCUGGUCGUGUCUCAGACCAUGUAACAGUCUGUUUUAACAAAUGGCCGUGUGGAUAGACUAUGUGGGUCAUGUAACACCCCCAUACCCGACCCGGUCGCUGAGUCAAGGCAUCAGGAUGUCACAUUCGUUGCCGAAGCAACUACUGAAAAUUUCAGAUCAAUGUAUCAUAUUAUUUAAUUAAUAUAGAUCAUUAACUCAUUUCAGUAAUAAUUGAAUUUAUGAUAGAACUAAUUAUGAGUUAAAGGAGCUCAUUAAAACAUCCAUAAUUGAUCAAAGACCAAAUUGUAUAGGUCAUAAAAAAUUUUGAACUGCCAUCGCGACGUUGGGGUUUACACGUCGUGACAUGGCGAACUUGUCAUCGUGACGUCGUCUCCAUUUUCCUACAAGUUCCACGCUUUAUUUUUAUUUAUUUAUUUAUUUAUAUCAUUACCUAAACCAUAUUCAGAUGUCAUAACCGCCACUUCAUUUUACAUAUCAUCGACUUACAUCUAUUUCUAAUCUCAAGUCCUUAUAAAAACAUUAUAUUCAAUCAAAGAUAACAAAGUUUAUAAAAUUAAUACAAAUAUUAAAGUUUUACAAAUAAGACUAUUGGAGGACUUGCACUUUCAAAGUAGUUUACCCACUUUAUGUAUAUUUCAUAUUUAUUUCUAAAUUGUAUCAAUCAAUUUAAUUCUUCAUAAAAUUUUAACAAGAAUUCAAUAUCACAUCAAUUAACAAUUAUUCACUUAUUAUUUUAUCAAUUCGUUUAAACAUAUUCACAUGUAUUAAUCAUUCCAUCACUUACAACUAUUUCGAAACAUUUCAAAUUCGUCUACUAUAUAUAUAUUCAUAUAUUUUUUCCUCCUCCUCCUCUCCAUUCCACAUCCUUUAUGUAUAUAUUUAUUAGAAUCUUUAGCUUUUAGUAUAUAACAUGCUUAUAUGUAACAUUGUCUAUAAUUCCACUAUUUACUUAUAUGUUCAUAUCAAAGAUGUCCACUUGAGUCAUAGUCACUAAAUUAUUUAUAUAUUGAGCUACAGAAUUCGAAAUUAAUAUCCGCUUGAUGUUUUUGAAACUAGACUCAAAUAUCUUUUUACCAUAAAAAUUUUAGAAUUUAUAAUUUAGCCAAUAAGUACAGUAAAUUAUUCAAAUUUGUCCUUGUUCUGUUGCUUGACAGCUUCGACCUUUCUUUACUAAAAAUUAAUUAUCUCUUAGUACAGGGUUUGGAUGAUUUUUUCGUUUGUUUCUAUUGAAAAUAGACUCAUUAAUAAUUUAAACAUAUAAAAUUAAACUCAUAAUCAUUUUUUUUACAAUUUUUUAUGAUUUUCCAAAGUCAAAACAGGGGAACUCGAAUUCACUCCGACCUUGUUUCACGAAAAUUAAUAUAUCUCAUAAAAUCUCGUUUCUUUCACCGUUUCUUCCAUAUGAAACUAGACACAAUAAGCUUUAAUUUCAUAUUUAAUUCAAUCUCUAACUAAAUUUCUUUAAUUUUAGGUGAAUUUUCAAAGUUAAGUCAUUGCUACUGUCCAAACUAUUUUAAUGAAAAUAUUUUCUUUUCCAAGGUUCUUUGCACUAUCUUUCAUUCAAUCACACAUAAUUGUCAUGCUUUUGAUUACUAUACAAUUUAGUCACUUAUGUUUAUGUUUAGAUUACAUAUUCAUUUCUUAAUCUUAGUACUUUUCACCAUGCAAAUCACAUUUUCUCUUACCAAUUUAGUGUUUUAAGUCUCUAUUCUUCAUCAAAUACUUUUUAUUUCUAGUAUUUAGAUUAAAUACAUGUUUCAUACAUCUCACUUAAAACAUCUUUAACUCAAUCUAUUGAAAUACAAGUAGGUUUAGUAUGAAACUUACCAACUUUGUCAAGAAUUUCUUCAUUUCUUCUUUAUUUCCAUGCAUUUCUUAUCUUCACCACUUUUCUUCCUUUUUCUUCUCAUUUUUUUUCCACUUUCAUCUAUUAUUUUCUUGCUUCUAAAUUGAUAAGUAUAUUCUCUAGAAUCUCUACUUCAUCUUCUCUCUUUAACAUCUAAGGAAAUUUUCAAAAAUUUUGGGCAAAAAGAUAGGUUUUCAUGGCAAAAGACUAAAUUGUAAAGAAAAGAAAACUUCAUUUAUCAUCCUUUCACUCACGUUGGAAGGAUGAUAAAUUUCCUUCAUCCUUCCUUUAUCUAAGUAAAAUAUUAAUAAAAUAAUAUUUAACUAAUUAAUUAAAAAAACCACCAAAAUAUCAUCAACAUCAUUAUUACAUUCUAGAAUUCUCCCUGUUGCUAAUUGACCAUUUUACCCUUUAUGAUUUUUUAAAAUUCCAUCAUUGAAUUAUCACUUAAUUUGGUAAAAUUACGAUUUAGUCCCUCACAAUUCUUCACCUAUUCAAUUUGGUCCCUGUAGGCCUAUUCCAUAUCUUAGGAAAUUAGAUUAUUUUCACUUUUGGUCUUUCAAAAUUUUCAUUUUUACAAUUCAAUCCCCUAAAUUUUGAAUAUUUACACUUGAGCCAAAAAAAAUUAACAUAUUUACAAUUUAGUCCCUUCCUUAAUGCAUUAUGUCAUGCUUUUUGAUUUAACUCACUGUUGAUAUAUUUCAAGUUUCAUUUUCUUUGAUCUUAUACCUUAUUUCGGUAAGAUUUUAUCUCACAUUAUUUACGACCAAGGGGGUUUUGAGGAUGUUAUAGGUCACACGGCUGCGUGGCAGCCCGUGUCCCAGGCCGUGUGCACCAAAUUUUGCUUCAAAAAAAAGGUAAACUUUACACCUAACUUGGCCACCAAUCCAAACCUAAAAACAUAACCAAAAAUACUCUCAAACAAAUCAAAACAUACCAAUUACCUACAAUUCAUGUGCCUAACCAAUGUGCCAUUCAAAUGAACCUCAAACAAAGACUAAUUAUCUCAUAACCUUGUUAAAGAGCAUAUGACAUUAACCACUUUCUCAUCCUCAAUCAACAUUCACCAAAAUGACCAAAUAUAACCAAUAUUACCAAGUUCCAUUUUACAAAGUAUUUACCAAUUCACAUCAAUAAUAUACACAUCCAAAAGAGUCAAGCUUAUCAACAUGCUUAUUUCAAUCACAACUAUAUACAAACAUUUGUUUCAAGACAUAACAUAAUUUUAAAUUUUAUAUGACUUUCAAUAUAAGUAAAUUAUACUAGAUUCAACCAUAGACCUAAAGACUAUUAGUCAAAAUAUCAUUAUCCUAGGUACAUGCCAUGACACAAAAAGAAAUACGUCACAAAUGUUGAGUUCAAGAUUUGUCGUGGAUGCUGAGUCAUUGAAAAAAAGUUUGCGCCCAGCGCUAGUCGAAUGAAUCGACAAUGGUUUCCUGCACUUCCAACACAAGAUCAGAUAAUCUCUAUUCCAUCAUAUCAUAACUAAACUUCUCAAGUUUACCAAUAUUGCUCUUCAUCAACUUAUUCAAUUCAAUAUACAACCCAUAAUUAUACACAUAAAUCAUUUAUCCAUAACCAACCAUUUAAAACUAUUUACUCAAUCAUUCAAUUAUUCUAAUUCAAAGGACUUAAGCUUGGCCGAACUGUUAAACUAAGCUUUAUUUGAUAAAGGAUUUUGAUAUAACAAAUUAAAAGUAUUUUUGAAUGUAAGAUAAAAAUGAUAAAAUAUUUUUUAAAUUUGAAUUCUAAGAAAUAAAAAUAUGAAUAUUUACAAUAAACUCUUAGAGAAUUUUGAAACAAUUUUAAAAUCAAGUGAAAAUUAUUUUAACCAAGUUAAAAUGAUCUUAAUUAAGUUAAAAUCAUUUUAACACAUCAAAAUGAUUUUCAAACAAGUCAUAAUUAUUUCAGGCCAAAAAGUAUCGAUACCAUUUGACCAAGUAUCGAUAAUUUUUUUUGAAAUAUCGAUACCCUUAGAAAAAUCGAGACCAAAAAGACAUUCUAUCAAAACCCUAAAAAUUAUCGAUACCAUGUUUUUGGUAUCGAUACUUUUUGAAAAUAAUCGAUACCUUUCUUCAAAACGAUACCAAACCCUACAAAGUACUGAUCUGGUAUCGAUACCUAUUUUAGGAAGUAUCGAUAAAAUAUUUUUAAAGUAUCGAUUAUUUUAUUCCAAUAUCGAUACCCUUUUUGGAGGUAUCGAUACUCGCUGUUACAGGUGAAAUAAAUGUUCUGGUUUUACAUCCCCAACGGCCAUAUUAAGUUCACCAACAACCUCAACGGCUGUAAAUCUAUUAGAGGGUAUAAAUACCAUCUUUUAAAGUCCUACAACAUCCAAGAAAAUACUUUCAAGCAAAAAUCAUCAAUCAAACAACCUUAGAACUUAAAUUUUCAUAUUCUUCGUACACACACUUGUGAGUUUUAUCUUUAUUCUUUUGCUCAAGUGUAUCUCAUUGUAUUUGUGCUUCAAUUUGCAAACAAUUUUAUCUAUCUUGUAAGAAUUGUUUCUUUGUUUGCUCAUUUGUAUCUCUUUGAGAGGGCUUGAAACUUAAGAUUUGGGGUAGAAAUCUUAAGGAGUUGUAAGGUUAAACAUUAUUCUCAAAGGUUAGAACAAAUUAGUGAAUUUGGGAAAAUCCUUAGUGGUGAAAAGCUAAGGUAGUGGAGUAGGCAAUUGGGGCCAAACCACUAUAAAUUCUUUGUGUUCAUUGUUUCAUUCUUAGCUUUUCUUGCACCAAAUUUUUUAAAGGCCAAUUCACCCCCUCUUGGCAUUUUCGGUUUACUUCAUCAAGAUAUCAAUAAUAUUUCAUGCAAUUAAUACAAUUAUAAAACUUAAAUAAGUUGUUUUAUACAAUUCAAUCCUUCCAUCAUCAUUUUACAAAAUUACCCUGACAUUUUACCUUUCACGCAAUUUAAUCCCUAAGUCUUAUACUUGUAAAUUCACUAAACUUAAUCAUUACUCAUGUUGGCCGAAUAUUCUAGGGACCUAUUACAGCCCAUAUUUAUCAUUAUUUCACAAUAUUUCUAUGAAAUUUAACUAUUUUCAUAAAUAAGUCCCUAAACCAUAAAAUCACUAAAAAUCACUUGACAAAACUUGUUUAUUUAACCACCAAAUUUAAUAAUCUAUCAUCUAAAUUCAAAAUAUAUUCAAAAUAUAUCAUGGCAAGUCCCUAAAAUUUUAACAAAUUUAUAAAUUAACCCCGGGCUAGCUAGAUUAAGCUAAAAUGAGUUCAAAAAUAUAAAAAUUAUUUAAAAUGGAUAAAAAAAAUCAUACCAUGCAAAGGACUUAAGCUUGGCUGAACCUUGAGGAUGCAAAAAUGGUGGUUUUUCCUUCUUCAUUUUUGGUGAUAUUGGAGAAGAAGAUGAUAGCUUUCUUUGAUUUAAUCUUGUUUUAAUUUAAUUUAUUUAAUUACCAAUUUACCCUUAGUAUAAUAACUAAUAACUACAAGAAUUUGUCCAUAAAUGUCCACUUGCCACCUUUGUGGUUUAUUUACCAUAUAAGCCCAUUAAUUAUAGAUUCCAUAUCCAUUUGACCCAUUUAGCAAAUAGAAUUCCACUUUUGCAACAUUUACGAUUUAAUCCUUUUUACUUAAUUAACUAUCUAAACCUUAAAAAUUCUUUACCAAAUUUUAAUACAACCUUAAUAACACUCCGUAAAUAACGAGAUCUCGAUAGCUCAUUUUUUAAAACCACUUGAACCUAACUAUUCAUUCAAACAAUAUAAAUUAUUAAAUCAAAAUUUAUUACAACACUAUAUUUGACUCGUAAAUAUUAAAUAAUAAUAUUUACAGACUCGUUUGUCGGAUUUGUGGCUCCAAAACCACUGUUUUCGAUACCACUGAAAAUGGGCUGUUAUAGUAUAUUUUUAUAUUAACUCUGUAAAUAUUCUUAUUUCAUAUUUACGGACUUGGUUUACGGAAAUGGAGUUUCGAAAUCUUUUUUUCUACACCACUAGAAUUCGAGUCGUUACAUCGUAUAAGGCUCGUUUAAGAUUGUAUAUCAUGUCAUAAUGAUGUUCUGGACUCAGUAAUAUGUAUUAAUUGUUAAAUUGAACUGUAAUCGAUCGUAGUUGUUCUGAUAACGUAUGUGACAUUUUGUAGCUCAGACCUGGUGAUUGGGUCACUAUGGGGUGUUGCAACAAUAUUUAUUCAAUUUGAUCUCUACUCUUUUAUUAGAUAUAAAUUAGAAAUUUUGAAACUAAUAAGGCUAAAGGAUAAAAAAAGGCCAUAAUAACAAUUUUAAAAAAUCAAUUAAGUCCUUUUAAAAUUUAAAAUUUAUUAAAAAAUUAAAAAAUUUAUAAAAAAUUUUAUAAAAAAUUAAAAUUAUAAAAUUUUCAUUAAAAAAAAUAAUACCAACCCAUUAAAAUCUAAUGGUUAUAAGUUUUUUUUUAAAAAUUUUGAUCCUUACUCUUUUAUUGGCUUGGUAUUGUUAUUUUUAAUAAAAAUGUAAUUUUAAUUUUUUUAACUUUUUAAAUGAUUUUUUAAAUAAUUUUUAAAAUUUAAAAGGUCUUAAUUGAUUUUUUUAAUUUGUUACGAACUGCUUUUUGAUACUUUAUCCUUAUUAGUUUAAAAAUGUUCUAAUCUACUUCCAAUAAAGGAAUAUGAGUCAAAUUGAAUAAAUAUGUAAAGGUUGAAGGCUAAAUUUUUUUUUAUUAUAUCUUAUAUAUACACACCAAAACAAACAUUUGACCAUGCAAUUUUAACAAAAGGGCUAUUUUGCUCACCCGUCUAACAUUUUGGUGAUACUUUUACCUUCUAUCCCGCUUAUUUAUAUGAAUAAUAAAACAAUAUUAUUUGAUUUAUUUUUAUUAAGUUUAAAGUAUUAUUAAAUAUAAAUAUAAAUAUAAAUUAACUAUUUAUUAAUUUUAUAAACAUCAAGUAGACCAAACAAAUUUACUGUAUAUAAACAUUUUAAUCUAAAAUUUUUAUGGCUAAAGGGCUUAAGGCCCUAAACUUUUUUUUUUUAAAUCAACUAAAAUUUUAUUUAUUUUCACUCAAUUGAGUCUUUAAACUUCAAAAUUACAUUUAACUAAUUCCUUUGGUCGUCAAAGGGUAAAUGCUGCCAUUUUGGGAGAUAUUUUCGUCAUGUGGCACGCCAAUAUUGUUUCACGUGGUGAAAUUUAGUGUUUUAUAUCUAAAAUUAUUCAAAAAGUAUUAAAAAUAUAAAAAUAUAGAAAAUAAAUAUAUAUUAUAAAAAUACAUAAACGUGAAAAAUUUUAUUAGAAAUUAUAAAAAAUAGAGAAGUGCAAAAAAUUUAUAUAAAAUUCACGUUAUAUGAAAUACGAAAAACUAAAAGAAGUAAAAAUUAAAAAAAAUUAAUAAUACAAAAAUAUUAAAAAUGAAUAAAUUUUACAAAAUAUUAUAAAAAGCAUAAAAAUAUUAGAAAAUAUAUAUGAAAAAAAUAAAAAUCAUUUUUUCAUUUGCACACUAACCAUCAUUUGACCCUCGAAACUAUUUGUUGUACACAUUUACUAUCAACCUUCCGGAGGCUUGUACCUUUCUUUCUAUCGUCAAUGUCAAGGGAGUGUUUUGAGAUGCAAAUUAAGGUAGGGAAAUAAGCUAAGAACACAAGGGACAAUAGAGGUUGUAUAUAAAAUUGUAAAUAUUUUUAAAAUUUGUAUCUUUUUUAAAAUUUUAUAUAAUUUUUAAAAUUUUCUAUUAUUUUUAAUAUUUUUUGCACUUUUCUAUAUUUUUAUAAUAAUUUUCUAUAUUUUAAAAUUUUCCAUAUUUUUAACAAUUUUUAUUUUUAAUUCAUAUAGUUUUAAAAUUAUUCAUUUUAAUAAUUUAUAUAAUUUGUAUAAUUUUUGAGACAUUUAUACUAUUUUUUUAUACUUUUUGCAUUUAUAUUUAUUUUUUAUAAUUUUUUUGUGAUUUUGAAUAUUUUAGUUUUUUAAUAAUUUCUUUUACGAUUUUCAGUAUUUUUUACCGAUUUUGAGAACAAAACAGCCCCAAAAGGGCAGCUGUUACCCCAAGGGGCUUAAUUAUUAUAAUUUUGAAGAUAAGGGGCUCAAUUGAGUGAAAAAAAAUAUAAGGGCUUAAUUGAUUUUUUUAGAAAAUUUCAGGGGCUUUUAGCUAUUUUUAUUAGUCAGGGUUUUUCAUUAUAAUACAUUUCAUUGCAACUGCUGCGUUUAAGUAUAAACAUAUUAAAGAAACAUGUGUAAUGAAUAAAAAAGAAGAAUUGGGUCAAAGCUACUCUUCUUUGCAAGCAAAAGACUAGUAGGUAGCAGAGUUGAGCAUUUAAGAGCUUAUGCAUUGUACAGAUUCCAUGUAUUUCAUUUUAUAUUUGAAUUUACAAUCAUUGAACAAAAGAUAAAAUAGAUACAACAAAAUGCCAACAUGAUCCUUGUGAUUAAUGUUAGCAACAGUUGAUUGAUCCUUUAUGAACUUAGACCUACCUUUAAUCAAAAAAAAUAUAGUGAGGUUAAUGUUUAUAGAUUUGUAAAGAAGAGAGUUGGAUGCAUCAUUUUGAUAGAUUAUAUAAUUAUAACCUAAUUGAUCAACUAUUUUCAAUGGUAAAUUAGAUGUAAAAUGUUGACUGUUAGAUUCAUCUCCAGCAACUAUCCCUACUCACAAGUCAACUGCACCCAAGUGUGAACAGCAGACGGGCAGGGCAUAACCACCAAAAUAGUUUGGUCUUUAUUUCUCAUGAAACUAAAUAUUUUUCCAUAAAACAUUUGAUUAAUUCAUAAGAUACCCUCAAAAACAUUGUUUCCCCCAUCUUCUUUGGACAGUUCCAGUGUUAUUUUGGUCACUUGCAAAGAAUGUUGUAGAGCUGACUGGUAGGCAUGGCUCAGUUAGCAUUAAUUUUCCACCUUAUAUACAAUACAAAUGCAAGAUUAAGAUCAGAUAUCACUGGCAACCCCGUUGAAAAAAUAUGGGUUUCCAAAGAAACAUAUUGGGUUUCCUUUUCUUGAUAUUGGCUUCACUAACAAGCCUCUCUUCUAGCCUUCCUAGUGAAUACUCCAUAGUGGAACAUGAGAUUGACGCAUUUCUUUCGGAGGAAAGGGUGUUGGAGAUCUUCCAACAGUGGAAAGAAAAGCAUCGGAAAGUGUACCGGCACGCCGAGGAGGCUGAGAAAAGGUUUGAAAAUUUCAAGGGGAAUUUGAAGUAUAUCCUAGAGAGGAAUGCAAAGAGAAAAGCAAACAAAUGGGAACAUCAUGUGGGAUUGAACAAGUUUGCUGAUAUGAGCAAUGAGGAGUUCAGAAAAGCUUACUUGUCAAAGGUGAAAAAGCCCAUCAACAAAGGGAUAACCCUGUCAAGGAACAUGAGGAGAAAGGUGCAGUCUUGUGAUGCACCCUCAUCCUUGGAUUGGAGGAACUAUGGAGUUGUGACUGCUGUCAAGGACCAAGGUUCUUGUGGUAAGAAAAUGCCCUACAUAUAGUGUAAGUUCCCCUUUGAGAAAAAACCUGAAUAACUGUGUCCUAUGUUUGCAGGAAGUUGUUGGGCAUUCUCAUCAACUGGAGCCAUGGAAGGAAUCAAUGCCUUAGUUACUGGAGACCUAAUUAGCCUUUCAGAACAAGAACUUGUAGAUUGUGAUACCAGCAACUAUGGGUGUGAAGGAGGAUACAUGGACUAUGCUUUCGAAUGGGUUAUAAACAAUGGCGGGAUCGAUAGCGAAAGCGACUACCCCUACACUGGUGUGGAUGGCACAUGUAACACCACCAAGGUCUGAUUCAUUUUUGUUUCAGUAGUUCAACCAGUUCUUCCUCUAAUUCUAAUGUAUUUGUCUUUAAUCAGGAGGAAACCAAGGUUGUAUCUAUUGAUGGCUAUCAAGAUGUAGAGCAAUCAGAUAGUGCUCUUUUAUGUGCCGUUGCUCAGCAACCUGUUAGUGUGGGAAUUGAUGGUUCCGCCAUUGAUUUUCAACUUUACACUGGUGUAAGUAUUUGUUUGGAACCUGGAAACUUUUUGUUUAAAACGAAAUUUUUGGGGUAAUGAAAUUCGUAUGGCAUGAUGCAUGAAUAGGGAAUUUAUGAUGGGAGCUGCUCGGAUGAUCCAGAUGACAUUGAUCAUGCUGUUUUAAUAGUUGGUUAUGGUUCAGAAGACAGUGAAGAGUAUUGGAUAGUGAAGAAUUCAUGGGGAACAAGUUGGGGGAUAGAUGGAUAUUUCUAUCUAAAAAGAGACACUGAUUUACCAUAUGGUGUUUGUGCUGUCAAUGCCAUGGCUUCUUAUCCAACUAAACAAUCCUCUUCACCAUCCCCUUAUCCAUCGCCAAGUGUUCCUCCACCGCCACCUCCUUCAACUCCACCACCACCACCACCUCCAUCUCCUUCACCAAGUGAUUGUGGAGACUUUUCCUAUUGUUCAAGUGAUGAGACAUGCUGUUGCCUUUUUGAAUUCUAUGAUUAUUGCCUAAUAUACGGCUGCUGUGAAUAUGAAAAUGCUGUUUGCUGUACUGGAACUGAAUACUGCUGCCCUAGUGAUUACCCCAUUUGUGAUGUCCAAGAAGGACUCUGC